rnacentral:snRNA from 1 species
GCAUGUGAGGGCGAUCUGGCUGCGACAUCUGUCACCCAAUUGAUCGCCAGGGUUGAUUCGGCUGAUCUGGCUGGCUAGGCGGGUGUCCCCUUCCUCCCUCACCACUACAUGUGCGUCCCAUCCGAAGCUGCACACUAGGUCGAAGAGGAUGACCUUCCCCGAAUAGAGGAAGACCGGUCUUCCGUAAAGGGUAUACGAGUAGCUGCAUUCCCCUGCUAGAACCUCCAAACAAGCUCUCAAAAACCUAGAGAAACAUUUUGCUCUCUUUACAAAACUAUUUCUUUUUAUAAAUUUCUUCAUAAGAAACUACUUCUUUUA